rnacentral:lncRNA from 1 species
UAAGAUAAUUACUUCCAAGACUUAUUAAGACUCCAUUUCUUCUCUUCUAAUACUAUUUUCUCUCAUUUAACAUCUUCUAAGCACAUCUUCACCUAAAAAUUGUAAGUUUAGUAUUGUGCAUGUAUUCUUUUGUCCUAAAAUAAUUAGUGAGUCAAUUUGAUGACUCAUACUUUCUUUCUCAUUCUUUAAUACAUACUUAUAUUUUCUCUCUCUUUGGCUUACUUUUUCCUAUUCUUUUUUAAUUUAUUUUGUUUUUUCUCCCUCUCUCAUAUAUUCUUAUGG